rnacentral:rRNA from 2 species
CCUGGCGGCUGUAGCGCGGUGGUCCCACCUGACCCCAUGCCGAACUCAGAAGUGAAACGCCGUAGCGCCGAUGGUAGUGUGGGGUCUCCCCAUGUGAGAGUAGGGAACUGCCAG